GGGGCCCUCCCCCCUUGAUCACUUAUUGAGAAAAUGCCCCACAGCUGGAUCUCAUGGAGGCACUUCCCCAACUGAAGCUCCUUUUAUGUAAUAACUCCAGCCUGUGUCAAGUUGACACACAAAACCAGCCAGUACAGCUCUGGUCUGAAAUCAUGUCCUCAUGCUUGUGAAGAAUUACCCAAUGAGCCCUCUCUCUGGUCCCUCGCAGGGCUGCGGAGUCAAAGUUUCAUGGGGAGAUGGUCAGGAUAACGGUUCUGAGAAGAAACCACCCUGGCAGUUCUCAGAGGCCAGAAGAGAGAGCAUCAAAUCCCUUGGAGCUGGAGUUUCAAGUGGUUCUUUUUAUUAUCAUUACCUGGUUUAAAAGUGUGAAUCCGCGGCGUUCCCAGGGAGGCAGAUGUGCACAGGAGUGUUUCCCAGCACUUUAAAUUCACAUGUGAACACUGGAGUUCAUCAGUCUCGUCCCAAGCAUGUUUCCUCCCAGCUGUGCACCGGUGACCUUGCUGGGAAGCCUCUAGACCCCCGGCUCUGAGUGGGACUCUAUCCCUGCCCGUCUUAGCCAACGGUGUUCCUCACGUCCACUGCAGAAGCAGACCAGGUCACAGGGGGUUGGGGUUAGGGUGGCUGGUGAGAUGGCUGAGUGGUGAGCGCUAGCCGCUCUUCCGGAGGACCUGAGUUUGGACCACUCAUAACCACUUGAAUAAUUGUGUGCUUAUAAAUUCUAAUUGCCUGGCCAAUUAGAAGGCCCCUUUCUCUAAGCCUGUGUGAUGGCUGUUCUUGCUUGCCAACUUGACUGCAUCUGGAAUUAAUUAAAACCCAAACAGCUGUGAGGGAUUUUUUUUCUCUUAAUUAAAUCAUUUGAAGUAGGAAGAUCACUUUUUUCCUUUUAUUUAUUCACUUUAUAUCUAGUUCAUUGCCCCUCCUCCUGGGGACCCCCUCCCACAUUCCUUUCCCCCCAUCCUCCCUCCCCUUCUCCUUUGUGAGGGUGGGGUCCUUGGGUGUGGUCCUGACCCUGGCACAUCAAGUCUCUGCGGGGCUAGGCACAUCCUCUCCCACUGAGGCCAGAGAAGGCAGCCCAGCUAGAAGAGCACACCCCAUGUUCAGCCAACGGCUUUUGGGAUGGCCCUGCUCCAGCUGUUCAGGAUCCACAUGAAGACCAAGCUGCACAUCUGCUACCUAUGAGCAGGGAGACAGACGCAGGUCCAGUCUGUGGAUGUUCUUUGGUUGGUGGUUCAGUCUGUAGAGCCCCUAGGGUCCAGAGCCUGAGUCCUUGGGAUUAUGACAUAUGCUGAAGCCCAGUGGACACAUCCAGCAUCGUUGACUGAACAACUACUGGAUUCUUGGACUUCCUGUUGGUAAAUGGCCACUGUUGGACUAGCUGGACCACAAGCCUGUAAACCCUUCUAGUAAGUCGCAUAUAUAUUCAUUCUAUAAAUUCUGUCCUCCCCCCCCCCAAAAAAAAUCCCUCUGGCUAAUACAGCCUGACCGGAUACAAACACAAUAUCUGCCAAAUACAUGGCGUCUUCCAGAAGGGGCAUCCAGAGCACAGAGGUGACUGAAAAGCAGGCUUCCUGGAUGGAAAGUCCAGCUCUGACUCUGGCUUGAGACCAUGGGCUCAUGGUUUAAUGUGCCUCAGUUUCACUGUCUGCAAGACAGCGUCAAACACAGAGGAUCCUUGUAGAAAUUACACACCGAAAUAUAUAAAGCAUCAGAAUAGUGCCCAGAAUCCAGAGGACAACAAGGAGCCGGGUGCUGCUCCCUGGCACAUGAGGCUGAGGAGAGACAUGGUUCGCGUGAUGGAGAGAGGCCCAGGGGCAGGGCUCUGGGCCUUCACAUGGCUUAGGUUCUCUGGAACCAGCUGCUCCUAAAAUUGGAUGUGCCUGAAACUUUUCGGUUGCUUAAUAUUCUGUGACUUGCAUAAAAAAAAAAAUACAAUAACUGUCCUUAGAGCAGUAAUCCAGCGUCCUGGGCAGGAAGAUGGAAGCUGCCCACACCCUGUGGUUUAAGUCUGGGCCUUCUCCUUCCCCAACUUCUUCUCGCUCCGAUGUUCUUCUCCCACACUCCUACUACAGAGAUGGUUGGGCUCGGGGAGGAAAUGUUUUCUGGAUGCUUCUGUUUAGAGACUGUGCUCAGGCAUGUGAACUGUUGGAUUUAUUAAUAACUCUAUGAGGACCCUGGAGUGCACAGCCAGUGACCAAGACACACAGAUGCGGCCACCUGAAGCCCACCCUGGAGCCCCUCUGGAUAAGGUCAAAUUCUAGACAGAUAUCAGAACUCGUUCUAGUCAGCACUGACUGGCAAAUGUGAUUAGUCCUUUUUAAAAAUGGCGCUGACCCCAAAGCACUCUAGUCAAUGCCUGGUCUCAAUAAUCUUUCUCAGGCAAUUACUUCAUCCACCUAUCCUCAGUCUCAAAGCUGAAGUCUUAUUUGUAAAGAAACUAUGACCUGGCCACACAGCUCCAAGGAUCCAUGUUCACUCCUGCACUACUCCGUCCUCACAGCAGGCCUGAGAGCUGAGGUCUCCACCAUCUUUGUGGCUUGAUGGCCAGGUGUAAGCACAGGUGUCUGUGUCACACCAGCCUGAGUUUGAAUUUUACUUUCUCUAGUUACCGAGGGUAAGCCACAUGGACAGUAAGAGGACAUGGGGGUAAGUGGUUUGUUUCCUGUUCUGUCUCAUCAAUAGUACACCCAUUAACACAGUGCGUGGUUAUCAGAUGCAUGGAGAUCUUUCCCAUGCCAGUCAGUCAGUGUUUGCAACCACCACCAGCCGGACAACCUCUGAUAGUCUGAUUCUGACACUGACCCGGAGGUAAUAGCCAAUGCCACAGGUCACGGAUUCAGUACUCCGUCAGCUCUGACUUCAUGUGUUGGUUGAAAGCACAAGGUCUUGUCUGUGCAUCUGAUCAGCGCUUUAUACAUUUGGAACUCCCGUGGUCCCUUCCUUGAAUCCUACUGUUUUGCUAGAAUGGUUCAGAGAACUCAGGGAAGUCUUUGCUUAUGGCCACAAUAUACUGACCUUUCGCUUUAUAAUAUCUAAGGGUGUUUCCAAACAAGGUGUGUGGUUUGCCUCACCUCCCGGGUUUCCAUUGCAGCGGUGAGUCACCCACCUUUCCAAUUUAACAGCCCAGAUAUAAAUCGAUUAUUAUUUACGCACUGAAAUCAGGUAACACUGUGCUGUGCGUCAGUUAUUUUCUAUUCACUCUGACAAAACAUCUGAUCAAAUCCACCUGGGGGCUGGACUCUGGUUCACGGUUUAGGAGAGAAUGUAAUCCUCGUGGCAGAAGCAUGAACUUGUAGCAGAAAAAUCAGGAAACACACGUUUAAACCCAGCAUUCUGGAGAGACAGCGUCAGGCAGACCCCUGAGCUCGAGGCCAGCCUGGUCUACAUGAUGAGGUCCAGGAGAGCCAGGGCUUCAUAGUGGGCCCUCGCCUCGAAAACAAACAAGAGGAAUGAUCAAUAAAAAGUAGAGAGAGGCGAGGGCUGGGACUCAGCUGAGGUUUUCCUUUCUCCCUUCUGCUUCAGUCGCAGAACCCAUCCCCGAUGGUGCGAUGGUGGUGCUCACACACAGGCUAGGCCCUUUCAGUCAGUGUUCUCUAAAAAUGUCCUCGGGCACACUCAGCGCUGUAUCUCCUACGUGGUUCUAAAUGCCAUCGAUCGACAACCCAGACCAGGAACCACAAGUUGAGGUGGAGUCCUCUACUCGGUGGGUGGUACGUGAGGUUGGUGACCUCUCUGAGACAAGCAGGCACCAAGUGACCCUUCCCACGUACGCGUCAUGUCUGGGAACAAACCUCUCUAGUUAAUUCUGACAGGGGAGAACAGAACAAGGAUGGUUUAUGGCGUGAGUCAUUUGAGUUUUAUAUUAGAAUAUAAUAAAAGGAUACAUGACUUGUUAGAGACAUAGCUGAAGGAUUGAAAGGCAUUUGCCCUGUACUAAACUAACAGAUUUUAGUCAGCGAUCCUGCAAUAAUUAUGGCUGUGUACAGAAUGCUGUGUCCGUGCACCCCGCUCGUGACUCACUGGAUGAGUCACGCCUUCUCCUGCCCUUCCACCGGGUUCCUAAGAGCGGCCCAUCUCACCUGCGAUGAUUUUCUGUUUAAUUAGUCCUCCCACCAUCCACACCUAAUCAGGGCCUCGGGACAGUGGCCCUCUGAUGUCAGUCUUCCUCGAGGACCAGUCCAGAGUGACGAAACACCACCAACCAUGCUCUUGCUGAACCCCAAUCUUUCCACAGCUCCUCUGGUCUACACUCUCUAGCCAAGAACACAAGACCCACAACCUGGCUGUGGGUUUCACCAGCUGCGACUCGCGAUGGCAUUAGUGUCUUGAACAUCUCGAAGUGAAGGAGUGGGAAGGGCUCUUUGUUCCCUGAAGCACGCCACAGAGAGCAGAAUGGCCCAGGUGGCAAGGCCCUCUUCACGUUCCUUACCGUUAGCAUUUUGAAGGAAACUCUUCCUCCCCCACAACCAAAUAAUAUUUGAAUUAUUAUUGAAUUCACUGAAAAGGGUAAAAAGCAAAAAUAUACCCAGACCAGAUCUCUCUGGAUGUUUCAUAACAAAAUGGAUAAACUGUAUUCUGACUCCACUGACAGAUGAAUGGCCUCCAGCCCUCCAGGCCUGACAGGCAAACCAUUUCAUUCAAACACCAGGUCCUGACAAGCUUCAGUGUGCAGAUCUUCUGGCUGCCGUAGCCCGAACUAUAAUUCUGAGACUUGAGAAGGACCGGCCUCCCGCGGCCGUGGUGAGAGACCAGAUCUGCAAACGCAAGACGGGGCUGCUUUGCUUCAUCACUGCAAGGGCUGAGCUCCUGCAGGGCACAGGUAGCUCCACAGAGACACAGAGAAGAAGGAAAUAGAAUAUGGGCAACGCCUGAGUCUGGGUUUGUUUCUUCCCAGCGACAAUGACCCUAAUUAAGACAAGGCAUUGUCAGAGUUUCUCAGCCUCAAACUACAAGGCAAAGGAUUCCUUGCUGGGAACUGAGGGAGAGGGAGGUCCUCUGCCUUGUGGGCUGUUCCGGCUUUACUCACUAGAUGUGGUUAGGCUUUUCUUCCACCCCUAACCCCCAACCAUGGCAGGCUGUGACAAUGGGGUUACAGGAGUUGGGGGAGCUAGUGGGUGGCUGGCGACACCUCAGUUCCUGCAUCCAGUCACCUCUAGGAGGAAUAACACUUUUGUAAAAAUCCCACGAUCCUGAUCAUACCAACUUGUUUGUACUUUGUGCUUCAGUUCAAGAAAAAUAGCUGCAGCGAACGAACCACUGUCGUCUCAGAGGAAUAAAGAAUGAGCUAAGAGAAAAGAGAAAACAGGGGACGUGGGGUUGCGUGGUGUGUGGUAAGAACUCCAAACAGGAAGUCCUGAGAUGCUGGGGACGCAGGGCAGUGGUGGCAGACGGCUUUAAUCACAGCACUUGGGAGGCAGAGGCAGGUCGAUUUCUGAGUUCGAGGCCAGCCUGGUCUAAAGAGUUCCAGGACAGCCAGGGCUACACAGAGAAAUCCUGUCUCAAAAACAAACAGGAAAUCCAGAGACAGCAGGCAGGGUGGGGUAGCGCAUGCUGUAAGAAUUCCAGACACAGGAUAUGAACAAAUCUACAGGGAUGUCAGGGUCACCUAAGCAGACCUGAGUUCUGGGAUUUGCGUGUUGGUCUCCAGGUUAUCAUGGUGGCUUGUACGUGCAUGGGGGUGUGGUGACAAAGCUGACAGGAUGCUUAGCUAUGUGACCUCUGAGAUUCCUGCUCACGGCAAAACACGGAGCAGGGAAACCAGAGGCUUACCCUGGCUUUCUCAUCCGGCAGCGUAUGCUCAGUCCAGGAAUGAUAUCAGAAUGUCCUAGUCGCAAUCAUGUGUGUGUUGGGGGGGGUGUCAGCCAGAGGGGGGAAGUACUUCCUGCCAGGCCUGGAUGCCCUAAGCUAGAACCCUGGGGAGGGGGGUGGACUCCUCCUCGUAGAGUCCUCUCUUCCGUUCACAGAUGUGGGAUACCCCCACCCACAACAUGCACAAAUAAACAAAACAUAAACAAGUAAAUAAAUAGACAAAUAAUAGUAAAAAGCACUUUAACAACUUACUUGCUGGUAUUUCCUCUCUUCACCACACACAGUUAUUCCUAUUCUAAACUAGUCAAUACAACAAGCAAAUAUGUCUGUUGUCAUGUAAAUAUUCACAAAGGACUAGAUAUUAGGUGUAGACUAUUUAAAAUGUAGUCUAGGGCUGGAGAGAUGGCUCAGUGGUUAAGGGCACUGACUGGUCUUCCAAAGGUCCUGAGUUCAAUUCCCAGCAACCACAUGGUGGCUUACAACCAUCUGUAACAAGAUCUGAUGCUCUCUUCUGGGGUGUCUGAAGACAGCUACAGUCUACUUAUAUAUAAUAAUAAAUAAAUCUUUAAAAAAAUAAAAUAAAAUGUAGUCUAGGGUUCUUGUGAGAUGGUUCAGUGGUUAUAGUAUUCACUAAUCUUGCAGAGGACCAAGGUUCAAGUCCCAGCACCCACACAGUGGCUCACAGCCUUCAAUGAUGUCAGUUUCCAGGAUCAAGGUGCUGGGAACUGAGCCUGGGUCAAAUGUUCUUACCCUCUGAGUAUCCCCAGUAUGCAUUUAAAAGGUGACAUCUUCAACUUACCCUUGAGGCUGGAAGUCUAUCCCUGUAAUGGUUAAUCUCGGUUGAUAACUUGACUGGAUUGAGAGACCCCUUGAAGAUUAAUAAAGCAUGUCUGGGAUCACGUUUGUGAGGGUGUUUCCAGAGAGGAUCUCCUGGGGAAGCGUCCUAGUUACUAUUGCAUUGCUGGGAGGAGACAACAUGACCAGAGCGGCUCAGUAAGGGAAGCAUUUAGUUGGGUGUUUGCUUGCAGUUCAGAGGGCGAGUCCGUGACCAUCACAGUGGGGAGCGUGGCGGCAGAGGCGGGCAUGGUGCUGCAGCAGUAGCUAAAACCUUAUAUCUGGUCCACGAACAGAGAUGGGGGACAGGGGAGGGCCUAGUGUUGGCCUUUGAAAGUUUACCCCUAGUGACACACCUCCAACAAGGCUAAUAUACCUCCUAAUCCUCCCUAAACAGGCCACCAGCUAGGAACCGAACAUUGAAAUAUAUGGACCUGUAGGGACCAUUCUCAUUCAAACCAGCACAGGGCAAAGUCCCAGCCUGAGUGUGGUGGGCACCGGCUCACAAUCUGGGGACCCAGAUGGAAUCAAUGCAGGAGGGAAAUGAGAAGGCGCACUCUGCAGCCUUCUCUUCUUGCUUACAGCCGUCUCCCCGACACGAGGUGAGCUGUUUUGCUCUACCAGGCACUUCCGGCCACAAUGGACUGAAACUUCUGAAACCCAGAGCUGGAAUGAACCCUUCACACCCUAAAUUGUUUUCCGCAGUUGUGUGCCACAGCGCUGGGAAGCUCUCGCUCGGUGCCGUCCAGAGCUCAAGAGCGCACUACCUGGGAAGUUUGCUCUUGUGCAUAAGCAUUUCACAUAUGGUACAUUAAGCUCCUAUCAUGUGCGGGCUGUGAUCAAAUGGUAAUAGCGCAGCACACACGGUCCUGUGAAGGAUUUUGAGAUGUGUGCAGCAGGAACAUUCUGGGAUCAACUAUCAAUGCUCACUGCACGUGGGAAGUCUGAAGAUCAUACGUGGCCACCCUGCAUCUGACCCUGCCUCCAACUCCUGCCAUCUUGCUUAUUUUAAGUCAGGGCCUCACUACGUAGUACAAUCUGGAGCUUGCUGUGUAACACCAGUUGACCUUAAAUUCACAGCAAUUCCCCUGCCUCUGUAUCUCAUGUGUUCAGGUCACAGGCCAAAACUACCAAGUUCAUCAUGAAGCCAAUAUCUCCCUUGCUCCUGCAGACUGUGACCUCGGCAUUCUCUCCGAGUACUGCAUACUGCCUAGACUGCUCUAUUCUCCGUGCUCUGGACAGCACCCUCCAAUCCGCUCCAGAAUACACUAGUGAGUUUGUCUCUGCUGAUGUAAUCAAUUAAUCAAUCAAUUAAAAACAGACUGUACCCAGAUUAUGAGUUUGGACU